rnacentral:sRNA from 1 species
ACUCAUAAUCAACCUUCAAGCAUUCAUUUUUAUGUUAUUUUGCUUUUUACAAAGUGCUGUUCAACGGAGGCUUCCAGAAAAAAGCCAAAUGUUGACGACGGUGCAAUCUCUACAGCAAACCUGUCACGUUCAACACAGAUAAGAGUAUUGUAACGAUCAAAUCCUAUUUUACUGACGGUCUUCUUUUUGGUUUAACAUGGAUAGCUACAUGUACUCGUUGCUAUUUUUAAGCCUUGUGAUUUUCACUAAAGGCAGUGAAACUCUGAACAGUCAGGACCGCUGCCAUGGAGAUGUGAAUUCAAAUGCAAAAUUACAAUUGGACAUCGCAAAAUUGUUAGAUUUUUCGUCUAAAUUAAGAUCCGUGUCGGGGACUUUAUACGGUGAACACUUGGCUUUGGUAUCUUCUGCGGUGACCUCAGUAGGUGUACCUGUUUCUAAAGUACAAGCAGUAUGUCGUGACCACCCGUCUCUGGUAUUUCCUCAUGCAGACGAAUGUCAGCUGUAUUACAACUGCUCCUUGACGUACUCCGAUGUUCCUCCUCACUUAGAACAGCACAUGGUAGAAUGUCCAUAGCUAUCUCUGUUCUCCACCAAGUCUUUGAGAUUUGUGAAGGAAAGGAAGACGGGAAUUACCGAUUUGAACAUAAUAGUUAUUACAGACAACAAGGGGAUAACUUUGGAGUCGGGAGACAAUGUGAUGCUUAUUAUCGUUGCCAAAGAGGCGUAGCGAGCGCUGUAAAAUGUCCAAAUGGAACCGUGUUCGAAUUAGUAAUUAGAAGUUGUAAGCCUGGGAACCACGCCAUCGAGUUAGGGUGUCAGCUUUAUUGCAAUCCAAACUUUAGGAUGUGGAACGGUUUUCCAAAUCAUUUGGCAGAGCGUCCGUAUCCAGAGCAGUUCUCCGACGUCACUCAUCGAUGUGAAAACGCGUUCACAAGUCAAAGACUACUGCUUAUCACUUUAGCUGCGCAGGCUUACCUGACGGAUUUAAUGAACACCCGGUUAAGCGCCCUGGUCCUUAUUACAUCAUCUGUCUCCAAGAAAGAGUUAUCGCUGAAGGAACCUGUCCGAGAGACCGAAUGGCAGGCGCAAAUGUUCCCUUACCACGGCAAGUGUACACAUCGAUUCGCUAUUCCAACUUCCUGGUUCAACAUUGGACUUCUUCCGCACUGUGUGGGAAAAGCUGACGGACAUUAUCAAUAUCCUACUAGACCUUGCGACGCCUGCUACAAAUGUGAAGGCGGGGUUGCAACCGCUGUGAAAUGUCCACCUAAUGCAAACUUUGACACAGCCACUAGAGUGUGCAGUGUCAGUGCGUCUUGUUCCUCAGCAUUAUGAUAUCGAU